CAACAACAACACAACGUCCAACAACAUUAAAAGAUUUCGUUACACCAGAACCACCGACCACUCCCGAUCCUGGUGUACCUUUCGAGUGUCAAGAUGAAGGUUUCUUCAAGAAUCCAAAAGAUUGUCGCAAAUACUUUUGGUGCCUCGAUUCAGGUCCAGCCAAUUUAGGAAUCGUGGCUCAUGCAUUCACUUGUCCGUCAGGAUUAUAUUUCAACACGAAAACAGAGGCUUGUGAUUAUCCCGAAAACGUCAAGUGCAAAGUUACAUCAACAUCAACUUCAUCAUCGAACCCAAAAAGGACUCGACCCACAUCAACAACCACAUCAACCACCAC
rnacentral:misc_RNA from 1 species